rnacentral:rRNA from 1 species
GACGAACCGUCCAAACGUUAUUCGGUAUCACUGGGCUUAAAGAGUUCGUAGGCGGCCUAGCAGGUCAGGUGUGAAAUCCCACAGCUCAACUGUGGAACUGCGCUUGAAACCGCAAGGCUCGAGGGAGAUAGAGGUGAGCGGAACAGAUGGUGGAGCGGUGAAAUGCGUUGAUAUCAUCUGGAACACCGGUGGCGAAAGCGGCUCACUGGAUCUCUUCUGACGCUGAGGAACGAAAGCUAGGGUAGCGAACGGG